rnacentral:misc_RNA from 1 species
AAGUCGUAACAAGGUUUCCGUAGGUGAACCUGCGGAAGGAUCAUUAACAAAUCCAGCUCUGUACAGGAGCGAAAAAAACUUGUGAUGCAAUCGUGUGAAUAGGAUCAUCAAUUGUGAAGAUACUCCACCGGUGCUACACAAAGUUUUUUCCUGUGCACUUGCGAAAGCUGUGUCUUUAGGGAUUCAUUUCUCUAUCGACGCGUAACAAACAAGUAACCUGGGGUACUUUAAGGUAGAGCGCUUAAUUGUGCUUUGUCUUAGAGCCCUUCUAAUAAUCCCUUUUUUUACCAUUUUACCCCUUAUAAACUAUAAGACUGAUAUGACAUGAUAAAUGUCGAAUACAAAAACUAUAAAACAACUCUUAACAAUGGAUAUCUAGGCUCUG